GACGAACGCUGGUGGCGUGCCUAAUACAUGCAAGUCGAGCGAGACUCUUCGGAGUCUAGCGGCGGACGGGUGAGUAACACGUGGGCAACCUGCCUGUAAGACUGGGAUAACACCGGGAAACCGGUGCUAAUACCGGAUAAUCCUUUUCCUCUCAUGAGGAAAAGCUGAAAGUCGGUUUCGGCUGACACUUACAGAUGGGCCCGCGGCGCAUGAGCUAGUUGGUGAGGUAACGGCUCACCAAGGCGACGAUGCGUAGCCGACCUGAGAGGGUGAUCGGCCACACUGGGACUGAGACACGGCCCAGACUCCUACGGGAGGCAGCAGUAGGGAAUCUUCCACAAUGGACGAAAGUCUGAUGGAGCAACGCCGCGUGAGCGAUGAAGGCCUUCGGGUCGUAAAGCUCUGUUGUUAGGGAAGAACAAGUACCGGAGUAACCGCCGGUACCUUGACGGUACCUAACCAGAAAGCCACGGCUAACUACGUGCCAGCAGCCGCGGUAAUAC
rnacentral:rRNA from 1 species